UACGGAGGGUGCAAGCGUUGCUCGGAAUUAUUGGGCGUAAAGGGUAGGUAGGUGGUCUCAUUUGUCUGGGGUGAAAGCCUUGAGCUUAACUCGAGAAGUGCCCCAGAAACGGUGAGACUAGAAUCUUGGAGAGGGUCGUGGAAUUCCCGGUGUAGCGGUGAAAUGCGUAGAGAUCGGGAGGAACACCAGAGGCGAAGGCGGCGACCUGGACAAGUAUUGACACUCAACUACGAAAGCGUGGGGAGCAAACAGG
rnacentral:rRNA from 1 species